rnacentral:rRNA from 1 species
UACGUAGGGGGCAAGCGUUAUCCGGAUUUACUGGGUGUAAAGGGGGCGCAGACGGCGAUGCAAGCCAGGAGUGAAAUCUAUGGGCUUAACCCAUAAACUGCUUUUGAAACUGCAGGGCUUGAGUGAAGUAGAGGUAGGCGGAAUUCCCGGUGUAGCGGUGAAAUGCGUAGAGAUCGGGAGGAACACCAGUGGCGAAGGCGGCCUACUGGGCUUUAACUGACGCUGAGGCACGAAAGCGUGGGUAGCAAACAGG